rnacentral:rRNA from 1 species
GACGAACGCUGGCGGCGUGCUUAACACAUGCAAGUCGAACGGAAAGGCCCUGCUUUUGUUGGUUGCUCGAGUGGCGAACGGGUGAGUAACACGUGAGUAACCUGCCCUUGACUUUGGGAUAACUUCAGGAAACUGGGGCUAAUACCGGAUAGGAGCUCCUGCUGCAUGGUGGGGGUUGGAAAGUUUCGGCUGUUGGGGAUGGACUCGCGGCUUAUCAGCUUGUUGGUGGGGUAGUGGCUUACCAAGGCUUUGACGGGUAGCCGGCCUGAGAGGGUGACCGGCCACACUGGGACUGAGAUACGGGCCAGACUCCUACGGGAGGCAGCAGUGGGGAAUAUGGCACAAUGGGCGGAAGCCGGAUGCAGCAACGCCGCGGGCGGGAUGACGGCCUUCGGGUUGUAAACCGCUUUCGCCUGUGACGAAGCGAGAGUGACGGUAAUGGGUAAAGAAGCACCGGCUAACUACGUG